AGGAACCUGCCUUCCANAGGGGGACAACAGUUGGAAACGACUGCUAAUACCGCAUGACGCAUUGGUGUCGCAUGGCACUGAUGUCAAAGAUUUAUCGCUGGAAGAUGGCCUCGCGUCUGAUUAGCUAGUUGGUGAGGUAACGGCCCACCAAGGCGACGAUCAGUAGCCGGACUGAGAGGUUGGCCGGCCACAUUGGGACUGAGAUACGGCCCAGACUCCUACGGGAGGCAGCAG
rnacentral:rRNA from 1 species